AUGAUGUCUGCAGUUGCAGAGCAGGUGGUUGGUGGUUUCUCAUCAGCUGUUAUCCAACGUGUUGCUGACAAGACGAUGGAUUACCUAGGGAGCAACUACAAUCUAAGCCAUGCUACCGAAGAGCUUCUGACCAGACUGCGCACAAGCCUCACCAUGGUGAAGGCAAUUACCGAGGUGGCUGAUAACCAUCUUAUCAUCAGCAAUAGCCUUACCAAGUGGCUAAGGAACCUCCAUACUGCUGCCUAUGAAGCCGAGGAUGUGCUUGACAGAUUUGAUUGUCAUGAGAUAGUUGCCGGAAAGCGCAAGGUGAGGGAGCUCAUUUCAUCUUCGGUCAGGGCCCUGAAAAGUCUGGUUGUACCUGAUGAGGGCAUGAAAAUGCUUGAAUGUGUUGUGCAAAAGCUAGACCACCUUUGUGCAAUCUCCAACACGUUCGUUGAGCUAAUGAAGCAUGAUAAUUUGAAUGCCAUUAAGGAGGAAAGAAUUGUGGAAGAGACUACUUCUCGUGUUCCAAUUGAUGUCAAGGUGUUUGGCCGUGAUGAAGUUCUAGAGUUAAUACUGAAAAUUAUGUUGGGUUCAUCUGGCUCUGAAACAGAACCCAGUAGCGUAAGAGCAAAACUUGGGGCAAGGUAUCGCAUUGCUGGUGUUGAUGUUAUUCCGAUUGUUGGUAUGAGCGGCGUUGGGAAGACCACCCUUGCUCAAGUCAUUUACAAUAAUGAAAAUGUAAAGGGUCACUUUAAGCAAAGAUCAUGGGUUUAUGUUUCAAAACACUUCGGUGUGAAAAGAACAUUGCAAGAGAUGUUGCGCUCUUUUAAAGGAAACUAUUCAUCUUUUGGCUAUGCAGAAAGUCUGGAAACAACUGUCAACAAUAUUCAAAGUGUCAUCCAUCAGGAUGGAAGAUUCCUUCUUGUUCUAGACAAUGUUUGGGAUGAGAUGUGUGACCAGUGGAAUAGUUUGCUUACUGCCAUAGCUUGUGACGUGCCAGGAAGUGUUGUUCUUGUCACAACACAAAGCAAAAGGGUUGCAGACACAGUGGUGACAAUGUGUCAAGUCCCACUAACACCUUUGCCAUGGGAGAGUUUUUGGCCAGUUUUCCGGUAUUAUGCAUUUGGCACCACUGAUGUUGUGGUUGAGAACAAUCAGACUCUUUUGUUAAUUGGUGAACAAAUAGCAAAAAAACUAGAUGGUCUGCCAUUAGCAGCGAAAGUCAUGGGAGAUUUGAUGAGGUCCAGAUUUGCUGUAGAUCACUGGAGAAGCAUCCUGGAGAGCGAUUGGUGGGACAUGAGUGAAGUUUUAUGUGGAAUCCUUCCAUACAUGGGAAUUAGUUAUCAAGACCUGCAACCUACACAGAGGCAGAGCUUCGCUUUCUGUUCGAUUUUCCCACAAAACUACCUGUUUGACAAGGACAGAUUGGUCAAUAUGUGGAUUUCCCACGAUUUCAUCCAACACAGCGAAUUUGAUGGAACUAGAUUAGAGGAUAUUGGGAGUAAAUUGUUUGAUGAACUUGUACAAAGAUCAUUUUUCCAGUCUACAUUUGACAACAAGAGAUACACUAUGCACAAUCUAGUAAGGGCUCUGGCAAUUGCUGUUUCUUCAAAUGAAUGCUUCCUCCACAAAGAGACCUCACAGAGAGCAUCACCAACUGUUCGCCACUUGUCUCUUCAAGUUGGUAAUCAACUGCACAUUCAUGAGGCGAACAGGUAUAAAAAUCUUCGGACAAUCUUACUGUUUGGUCAUUGUGACAGUAAUGAAAUUUUUGAUGCUGUUGACAAUAUGUUAGCCAACUCAAGAAGCAUCCGAGUGCUAGAUUUAUCUCACUUUGAGGUGAUGACGAGUAUGCUGCCCAAUCUUGCAUUAUUGAGAAAAUUGAGGUUCUUCGAUCUUUCUUUUACAAGAGUUAACAAUUUGCGCAGCUUCCCUUGUAAUCUUCAAUUUUUAUACCUCCGUGGGUAUACAUGUGACUCAGUUCCUCAAAGCAUUAAUAGGCUUGCCAGCCUACGACACUUGUAUGUUGAUGCUACAGCUCUGUCUCGAAUUCCUGGUAUUGGGCAGCUGAGUCAACUUCAAGAAUUGGAGAACUUCAGUGUUGGAAAGAAAAAUGGAUUCAUGAUAAAUGAGUUGAAGAGCAUGCAAGAGCUAUCUAAGAAAAUAUGCAUCAGCAAUAUCCACAUCAUUAAGAACAGGCACGAGGCAAAAGAUGCAUGUAUGAUUGAGAAGAAACACCUUGAAGCACUGGUGUUGACGGGUAGAAAUGUAUCCAAAGAUGUACUUGAAGGAUUGCAGCCACACCCAAAUCUAGGAGAGCUCAUGAUCGAAGGUUAUGGGGCCAUAAAUUUCCCGAGUUGGAUGUUACAAGGUCAAAUAUACACAAAACUUCAGUCCCUUCAUGUUGGGAACUGUCGACUCCUAGCUGUACUUCCACCAUUUGGAAAUUUCCCUUCACUUAGGCGUCUCAUUCUAGACAACUUGCCGUUAGUGAAGCAUGUUGAUGGAAUAUCUUUUGGUUGUCUUAGAAGUUUGGAGGACCUCAGAGUUUCUUCCAUGACAUCAUGGAUAGAUUGGUCACAUGUGGAAGAUGAUCAUGGCCCUCUCCUUCCACAUGUCACAAGGUUUGAACUUCACAACUGCCCUAAACUUGAAGAAGUACCACAUUUGUCAUUCAUGUCUUCGUUAUCAGAACUUGACAUUUCAUCUUGUGGGAACCUUGUCAAUGCACUGUCACAAUAUGUGGAACUCUUAAAAUGUCUUGAAAGUUUGAAGAUAUCUUACUGCGACCACCAACUCUUACUCUUUGGGCAUCAGUUGAAAUCAUUGAAGUAUCUAUACCUCAGAAAAUGUGGUUCGCUACGUUUGGUUGAUGGGCUACACUGCUUUCCUAGCCUCAGGGAAGUCAAUGUUCUUGGUUGUCCUCACAUUCUUACUGAAUUUUCAGACCAAUCAACGAGACAAGAUGAGCAGGCUGUACAUCAGCUUACCAGUAUAAUUACAGAUUCAAGCUUGUUAAGUAGAAAUUCUUUUCUCCCCUCAGUGCAAGUUAUUGAAAUCGCCCAUAUAGAGGACCAUUAUUUUACCCCAGAGCAGGAGGAAUGGUUUGAACAACUAACCUCUGUCGAAAAAAUUGUGUUUGAUAAUUGUUAUUUUCUUGAACGACUCCCUUCUACACUAGGCAGACUCGCCUCCUUAAAGGUACUUCAUAUCAUGACAAAACCAGUGGCCCCGAGAGAAAAUUUUCCACAGAAACUCCAAGAAUUUAUUAUGCAUGGAUUUCCAGUUGAGGCAGAAAAUGAUUUCAAACCUGGAGGAUCAGCUUGGAUAAACAUUUCUCAUGUUCCAUACAUCCGUCUUAAUGGGAAGACGAUCCAAAAUCGACAAAUGGAUGCUGCCUCAUCGUCUUCAAACCAACAAAUUUGA
rnacentral:rRNA from 1 species